ACCAAGUAGAUGCGUUUUAAAAAUCUUGAGGGAAAGUCUGAAAGAAAAAGUUCAAAGAUAGCGGUGGGUUUGGAUCGUUUCGAAGAAUGUGUUUUGGUUGGAACUAAUAGACUCGAUGCCAUUAAGGGUGAGCUGGAGAAACUAUUCCUGGAUAAGGUUCGUGUAAAAAGUUGUCUGUAAACCUGUUGGUUAGCCCUAUACAAUUUACUACGCUUGUACUGAGAUGAACUUUGUCAUGAAUGUGGUUGCAAACUUGGGGCUCUGUAUUUCUGUUUAUGAUAUAAGAUCAGUUGAUAGGGGCUUGAUCUUUCCCAGUGAUGGCGCUACAAUGUACAAGGUACUCGUGCUCUGUUGUAUUUCUUCUUCAAGAUUGAACCAUUAAAGUUCCUUCGUUACCUAGUGUCAAUGCGACAUGUAACAGCUAAGUCCACCACUAGAAGAUUUUGUCUGCUUUGGUCUGUUAUGUAUCGUCGUCAGCCUCACGUUUUUAAAAUGCCUCUACUAGGGAGAGGUUUUUACACCCUUGCAAGGAAUGCUCAAUUUUCCUCUCCAACCGAUGUGGGUUCUCACAACAUAGAUGGAUAUGGGACUAUGACGGUCAACCAUAUGACAUAUAUGAAACGGAUGAGUCAGAGGAAGACUUGUUUAUAGUUGGGAUCGAACGAAUUUUAGAAUCGGUUUGAAAUGACUUCUCAACGUUUGGGAGACAAGGCAGCAAUUGAUUGUGAUGGAGUGGGGACCUAUUUCAUGAUGGAAUGGCUCGGGAGAUGCCGAUGCUGAGGUCGAAGUCGAAGAAGAUUCCUAAGAUGAAUGACAUAGAAUUUACCUGAAAAGCAUCACCAAUCAAGACGUAGAAUGCAGACGGGUCGGGACAUACAGGUGUCCACAACCCGUCGUGCAAGGAGAU